rnacentral:misc_RNA from 1 species
GUAGGUGAACCUGCGGAAGGAUCAUUAACACGUACGUUUAACCACCCGUGCACCUUCAUUGGGGACUUGCAACCCCCCGCCGGGGGCAAGUAUCCCAAACCGCGUUCACCUGUGGCGAAAUGACGACGAACGGGUUGAAGAAUCGUCAGAAGCGGCAAGUCUAAAUAAGGAGAUUCGGAUUGCAGUGGGGCUUGGAAAUGGCCCUGGAAUCGCAAAUUGAGGCGAAUUGCCAGAUGCGCUUUUCGGGGGGUGUUCCUGGAGUUUCUUUCUCGCGGGUUGCGCAAGUGGUUGAACCUGACCGCUGGAAAAAUUGACACCAUGACUAACCAACCACGCUCCUACCCCCAACGGGGUCCGGAGUAGGUAACCCCGAACAACUGUUAACAAUAUAUCUUGGCUCUC